UUUCUAGGAAGAUCAUUGACUGUAGAACUCAAAUUAUGAACACUCACAGUCUACAAGGUGAUUCAUAUCUAGGUUGCAACAGGUAUGUAAGGAUGGAAAAUUCCACAUCUAUAUUCUCUACCUUUCUCUGUUGCCAGAUUUUCCUAAGAUAGACUGGAGGAACUUGAUGGCUACCCCAAAUGUUUUGCCUCGACACUUAUUUACUAUAUGGAUGNNN
rnacentral:lncRNA from 1 species